rnacentral:rRNA from 1 species
AUACGGAGGAUCCGAGCGUUAUCCGGAUUUAUUGGGUUUAAAGGGUGCGCAGGCGGCCAUUUAAGUCAGCGGUUAAAUCGUGGGGCUCAACCCCAUUCUGCCGUUGAUACUGGGUGGCUUGAUUGCGGUCGAGGUUGGCGGACUUCGUUGUGUAGGGGUUAAAUGCAUAGAUAUGACGAAGAAAACCGAUUGCGUAGGCAGCUGACCAGACCGCAAAUGACGCUCAUGCACGAAAGUGCGGGGAUCGAACAGGAUUAGAUACCCUGGUAGUCCGCACAGUAAACGAUGAAUACUUGUUUUCGGCGAUAUAAUGUCGGAGGCAAAGCGAAAGCGAUAAGUAUUCCACCUGGGGAGUACGCCGGCAACGGUGAAACUCAAAUGAAUUGACGGGG